rnacentral:lncRNA from 1 species
UUGGUGUCUUAAGAUAUAUUUUCUUAGAGAGACGUAUACCAUGACUUGCAAGCAGGUAAUCUCUCUUGCCUUCAUAUUUGUUGGUGUAGAAUUCCAUCGAUGCCGGAGAAGCUGGAGUCGAGGGGAUCACGGCCACCGUCGGGACCUGCAAAGAAAGUCUAAACCAGAGUUGGGGGUGCUCUGGCAAGACCCUCCGACGCUCAAGUCAGUACUCUGCUUCAACAGAAAUGGAGCACUCGAAUGGGAUUUUAGCAAAGUUUAGAGAUAGUGC